CCCCGUGCAGAAUGCAGUUCUGAGAUGCUGAACCGCUAAAAUAAUCAUAAUUGGCAGCUCGAAACAGUUCAUUAACUGUAAAAACGGCACACCGACUGAUCUGGAGGUUGCUUGCCGGCUCCUUCCCAAGUUAACUUUAAAACUACUCUUCCCUUAACCAAAAUGGCUGCGGUACAGCUUCGCCUAUCUUCCACCGCCACAGCAGUAGCCCGACUUCUGAGAUUCCGCAGCUUCCGGAAGCGACUCAGAACCACCUGUCACCCUAGGCAACAGCCCAGCUGGCUGAUCCACUUGGAGGCUAAUUGGAGAAACCCGUUGAUCGGUUGCGCCCCUAAUGCUUCUCUAAGGCCGUUUGCCCUUAAAGGAGCAGACCGAGACGCGUCGGCGCGGCCGGCGUCGGGGUCCCCGGCUGGGAACGCCCCUUGAGAGAAGAUCUCGUGUGCCAAUUGGCUGUCCUGACAAACUGGGGGCGGUGAUUGGGCGACUAGGAAGAAGGUGGCUCCAGACCCGAAUGUGUCGCCAUGGCGGCGCCUGACCUGCGAGCGGAGCUAGACUCACUGCUCCUGCAGCUGCUUGGGGACCUGGAGGAGCUGGAGGGGAAGCGAGCGGUGUUGAACACCCGGGUGGAGGAGGGCUGGCUCUCACUGGCCAAGGCUCGCUACGCUAUGGGCGCCAAGUCGGUGGGGCCCCUGCAGUAUGCUUCCCACAUGGAGCCCCAGGUCUGCCUCCACACCAGCGAGGCCCAGGAGGGACUCCAGAAGUUCAAGGUGGUGAGAGCUGGCGUCCACACCCCAGAGGAGGUGGGGCCUGGCGAAGCAGGAGUCACGGGAGAGAGUGGACAGUCUCAUCUGAAUCACAGGCCGUGCUUUGUGCCUUUCUUUCCUCAGCUCUGCGCAGGCGCAAGGGCCCUGCUAAGACCCCAGAGCCACAGUCUUCUGAGGCCCCUCAGGACCCCCUGAACUGGUUUGGAAUCCUGGUUCCUCACAGUCUACGCCAGGCUCAAGCAAGUUUCCGGGAUGGCCUGCAGCUGGCUGCAGACAUAGCCAGCCUUCAGAACCGCAUCGACUGGGGUCGAAACCAGAUCCGGGGGCUCCAAAAGAAACUGAAGCAGCUCGAGCCUGGUGCUGCCUGACGUGCGGGCACAGAGGCAGGGCAGCGCGCACAGAGGCAGGGCAGCGAGCACAGCUCUUCUUGGACAUGACUGCUUGAUCUCAGGCCUUCUCCCUUCACAAAUAGCUCUUGCCCCUACCCCAUGCCAGCUAAUGCCCCCUCCGUCCCCCUGCUUUGCAUGUUUCCAUCUUCCUUAGGUGUGAAGUUUGAAGAGGCAAACAGUAAUUUUGAAAGCCACUACUUUGAAACCAUUCCGAGGCCUGGGUUCCCAUGCACUCACAUGGGCAGGCACACAUUAGUCAACAAUUGGAACUGCCUGUUGGAUCACUCUGCUGUGCGUUCAUGGCUGGAUGAUAGGACACUGUGAGAAGAGAGGUGGGGGAGGACAGGAAGUUUACUUCAUGUUUACUACAUCCUCCAAACUGACUUUCCUGGAGGAGAAAACCAUACUCGGCCAAUGAUCAGGGCAGUAUGACUUGAGUCAACAAAGAUACAAACGCCUGAGUAGAUGGGCAGCCCUUGGCCGGUCUAAGCCAGAAACUGAAAAUGACCUGGCCUAGAUUUUUAAGGAAACUAGAGGAAGAGACCUAAGUUUUUAAAAUUCUUCCUCCAUCUUACCAUAGCCUCUCUUCAUUUUUUUGAAGGGCUACUUGUGUUUUCUAUUCUGGGAACUUCAUUCAUUUUUCUACUGGGUUGUUGAUCUUUGCAAUAAUUUCUAGGAGUUGUUUAUGUUUGGGGGGGUGGAAUUCAUCCUUUGUUCAUGUAUAUGAGAUGUAAAUCUUUUUUUCCGGUUUAUCUUUUCACUUACAAUUUUUUGACUUUUUAUUGUGAAAUAAAAUAUACUACAUCAAACUACACAAAACAGUUGAAUAGCUUAAUGAAUAACUAUGGUAAAAGCAUGCUAACCACUGCCCAACUCUUGUGUUUUUUGAUCAGUAUAUGUAUGUAGAGUUGAAUGUAUCCAGCUGUCACAUGA